UGCGGUAGGACGGGCGUCUUUUAAAGUCUCGACGGUGAAAGCCCGGGGCGUCAGCCCCCGGAAAGGGGCGUUAGAAACUGAGGAGCCUGAGUACCGGAGGGGAGAGUGGAAUUCCUGGUGUAGCGGUGAAAUGCGUAGAUAUCAGGAGGAAUACCGGUGGCGAAAGCGACUCUCUGGACGGUAACUGACGCUGAGGCACGAAGGUCAGGGGAGCAAACG
rnacentral:rRNA from 1 species